rnacentral:rRNA from 1 species
CGUAGGGUGCGAGCGUUAAUCGGUAUUACUGGGCGUAAAGCGUGCGCAGGCGGUUUUUAAGACAGGCGUGAAAUCCCCGGGCUCAACCUGGGAACUGCGCUUGUGACUGGAAGGCUAGAGUACGGCAGAGGGGGUGGAAUUCCACGUGUAGCAGUGAAAUGCGUAGAGAUGUGGAGGAACACCAAUGGCGAAGGCAGCCCCCUGGGUCGAUACUGACGCUCAUGCACGAAAGCGUGGGUAGCAAACAGGAUUAGAUACCCUGGUAGUCCACGCCCUAAACGAUGUCAACUAGGUGUUGGGAGGGUAAAACCUUUGUACCGGAGCUAACGCGUGAAGUUGACCGCCUGGGGAGUACGGCCGCAAGGUUA